AACGAACGCUGGCGGCAGGCCUAACACAUGCAAGUCGAACGAAGUCUUCGGACUUAGUGGCGCACGGGUGAGUAACACGUGGGAAUAUACCUCUUGGUGGGGAAUAACAUCGGGAAACUGAUGCUAAUACCGCAUACGCCCUUCGGGGGAAAGAUUUAUCGCCGAGAGAUUAGCCCGCGUCCGAUUAGCUAGUUGGUGAGGUAACGGCUCACCAAGGCGACGAUCGGUAGCUGGUCUGAGAGGAUGAUCAGCCACACUGGGACUGAGACACGGCCCAGACUCCUACGGGAGGCAGCAGUGGGGAAUAUUGGACAAUGGGGGCAACCCUGAUCCAGCCAUGCCGCGUGAGUGAUGAAGGCCUUAGGGUUGUAAAGCUCUUUCACCCACGACGAUGAUGACGGUAGUGGGAGAAGAAGCCCCGGCUAACUUCGUGCCAGCCGCCGCCGUAA
rnacentral:rRNA from 1 species